AGUAAUGCGUGACCAACCUCGCCCCAUGCUCCAGAAUAGCUCUUGGAAACGGGUGGUAAUGCUGGAUGCUCCAACUUGACGCAUGUCUUGUUGGGAAAGUGUUUAGUGGCAUGGGAUGGGGUCGCGUCCUAUCAGCUUGUAGGCGGGGUAAUGGCCCACCUAGGCUUCGACGGGUAGCCGGCCUGAGAGGGCGGACGGCCACAUUGGGACUGAGAUACGGCCCAGACUCCUACGGGAGGCAGCAGUA
rnacentral:rRNA from 1 species